GUUCAAAACAUACCAGUUAGUUAGCUCAUAUUAAUACAGAAGGUAAGAAUAUUUCUAAUAGCGUUCCAAUAAUUUUAUUAUUUUACUAGACUUAAACAUUGCUUUAUACGGGAUUUUCUAAUCCCAGGCAUAGAUUACCUUAGCCGUAUUUGGCACAUUUUUUUGGAAUUUUGUAUCCUCAAUGCAUUUUAAAUUUGUACUUGUUUGGCUUUAUAAAUAUUUUGAUAUGAGCGUCAUUGAUGAUUCGUAUGUAGACGGCGUCUUGCGUACUAAAUUAUAAUCCUGGUACCUUUGAUAAAUAAUUAAUACGAAAUUACAUGAUCAAGGUUAAUAUUAGUAUUACCUCUUUUACUUAUUCAGUUUGCCAGAUACAUGUUUCCUCUAUUUAGGACUCAUCAGUAGACUAUAAUUGAAACAAUGGAAGGCAAAAUCAAGUUUAAAGUUGACCAUAUUAAAAUCCCAACCGAAAAGGUGAUGUCAAAGAGAUCGGAAAUGUCAGUCAAUAUCAUUUUCAUGUGUAUUGAUGAAAAUUCAAAAUUUAGAACUUUUUCUUCCAGGACUACUGCACAAUGAGAACCUGCCUCGCGUUUUGUAUCUUAUUGAUAUGUUUGGCGGGUAAGUUUAUGUCAUUCAUAUAAGGAAAUACCCGGUAUCUAAACAAAAACAAAAAAAAAAACUUUUAACGUGCCUCAAGUAACUCUACAUUGAAAAAAACUCAGCAUAUUUCAAAUAAUAUAUCUAGACAAAUAGGAGAUGUUGUAUGGUUGCCAACCAUAUAAGGAACGCGAAUCUAUUGAUAAAAAGUCAAUUUUAAAAAGCCUAUAUAACAAGUAAAUUAGUUCAAAAUAGACAACUACCAGUUUGAUGCAAACAUCAUGCAGCAAAAAACAAAAAUAUGGCAGAGUGGGACCAACAACAAGUAUUAACUAAACUAUGAAUAGCUGGUUAAGUACGGGUAUCUAUACAAAAUGUGUUGGGAAACACCAACCCACUCUUAACAUGGAACAGUUGUAUAUCAGCACAACGUAGGAAAUUCCUAUGAAAGGAUCAACGACUUAAAUUGCAGGGUUAGGCAUACCAAUAUUGUCGUACCAAUAUAGCACCCCCAACGCAAACACACACACACACACACAUUUAAAAUUUCCUUAAAUAUUUUUUAAAAAGUUACAAGGAUAAAUAAAAGAUCAGAAACAAUUUCAUUGAUUAUAUGUUUAUUGUUUUAAUAAAAAAAAGUAACAAUAUGUUUCAGGUUUGGAGAAUACUAAUGCUCUUAAGUGCUUUAGUAGUAAUUGUCGUACCCGUGCAGAUUGCAAAUAUGGAUGUCGUGCCCGUAAUUGUGGCAUUAAAUAUGACUGCAAUGUCCAUCGGCGGGAAUGCUGUUGUGAUGCUUGUAGUCCAAACUAAUAAACAGGAAUAAACAUAACAUCAAAUUGUUACCAUUACAGAAAAUGCGCAUAAACAUGGAUAUUAAACUCCUCCGAUCGACAUAAAGAACAAAAAUAUUCAACAGAACUCAGUUACAAAAAAAUCAUAGUACAAAGUUAAAAUAAACUAGCAUAAUCAAAUAUAUCUUAGACUUAUAUAUCAAUCAAUACACCAAC
rnacentral:lncRNA from 1 species